AAGAGCUCGUAGGCGGUUUGUCGCGUCUGCUGUGAAAUCCCGAGGCUCAACCUCGGGUCUGCAGUGGGUACGGGCAGACUAGAGUGCGGUAGGGGAGAUUGGAAUUCCUGGUGUAGCGGUGGAAUGCGCAGAUAUCAGGAGGAACACCGAUGGCGAAGGCAGAUCUCUGGGCCGUUACUGACGCUGAGGAGCGAAAGGGUGGGGAGCAAACAGGCUUAGAUACCCUGGUAGUCCACCCCGUAAACGUUGGGAACUAGUUGUGGGGUCCAUUCCACGGAUUCCGUGACGCAGCUAACGCAUUAAGUUCCCCGCCUGGGGAGUACGGCCGCAAGGCUAAAACUCAAAGGAAUUGACGGGGACCCGCACAAGCGGCGGAGCAUGCGGAUUAAUUCGAUGCAACGCGAAGAACCUUACCAAGGCUUGACAUAUACGAGAACGGGCCAGAAAUGGUCAACUCUUUGGACACUCGUAAACAGGUUGGUGCAUGGUUGUCGUCAGCUCGUGUCGUGAAGAUGUUGGGUUAAGUCCCGCAACGAGCGCAACCCUCGUUCUAUGUUGCCAGCACGUAAUGGUGGGAACUCAUGGGAUACUGCCGGGGUCAACUCGGAGGAAGGUGGGGGAUGACGUCAAAUCAUCAUGCCCCUUAUGUUUUGGGCUUCACGCAUGCUACAAUGGCCGGUACAAAGGGCUGCAAUACCGCGAGGUGGAGCGAAUCCCAAAAAGCCGGGUCCCAGUUCGGAUUGAGGUCUGCAACUCGACCUCAUGAAGUCGGAGUCGCUAGUAAUCGCAGAUCAGCAACGCUGCGGUGAAUACGUUCCGGGUCUUGUACACACCGCCCGUCAAGUC
rnacentral:rRNA from 2 species